AUUGAACGCUGGCGGCAUGCCUUACACAUGCAAGUCGAACGGUAACAGGUCUUCGGAUGCUGACGAGUGGCGAACGGGUGAGUAAUACAUCGGAACGUGCCUAGUAGUGGGGGAUAACUACUCGAAAGAGUGGCUAAUACCGCAUGAGAUCUACGGAUGAAAGCAGGGGAUCGCAAGACCUUGUGCUACUAGAGCGGCCGAUGGCAGAUUAGGUAGUUGGUGGGAUAAAAGCUUACCAAGCCGACGAUCUGUAGCUGGUCUGAGAGGACGAUCAGCCACACUGGGACUGGGAAACGGCCCAGACUCCUACGGGAGGCAGCAGUGGGGAAUUUUGGACGAUGGGCGCAAGCCUGAUCCAGCAAUGCCGCGUGCAGGAUGAAGGCCUUCGGGUUGUAGACUGCUUUUGUACGGAACGAAAAGCCCCGGGUUAAUACCCUGGGGUCAUGACGGUACCGUAAGAAUAAGCACCGGCUAACUACGUGCCAGCCGCCGCCGUAA
rnacentral:rRNA from 1 species